GACGAACGCUGGCGGCGUGCUUAACACAUGCAAGUCGAACGGAAAGGCCCUGCUUUUGUGGGGUGCUCGAGUGGCGAACGGGUGAGUAACACGUGAGUAACCUGCCCUUGACUUUGGGAUAACUUCAGGAAACUGGGGCUAAUACCGGAUAGGAGCUCUUGCUGCAUGGUGGGGGUUGGAAAGUUUCGGCGGUUGGGGAUGGACUCGCGGCUUAUCAGCUUGUUGGGGGGGUAGUGGCUUACCAAGGCUUUGACGGGUAGCCGGCCUGAGAGGGUGACCGGCGACAUUGGGACUGAGAUACGGCCCAGACUGCUACGGGAGGCAGCGGUGGGGAGUAUUGCGCAAUGGGCGGGAGCCUGAUGCGGCAGCGCCGCGUGCGUGAUAACGGCCUUCGGGUUAUGAACCGCUUUCGCCUGUGACAAAGCGUGAGUGACGGUAAUGGGUAAAGAAGCACCGGCUAACUACGUG
rnacentral:rRNA from 1 species